CAAAAUUUAUAAAGUGAAUUUAAAAUUUAAAUUACUUUUUUAAAUGCAAUCACAAAAGGAUGAGAAACAGAAACAUGAAUGCACGGAAUGUAAACAAAUAUUUCCAAGGAAAUCGCACUUAGAUGUGCACCUGAGAAGCCAUACCGGUGAGAAACCGUUUCCAUGCGAUAUUUGCGGUAAAAAAUUCUCCCAGUCUGGAAAUUUAACAAUUCACAAAAAAAUACAUUCGGAAGAACGACCUUUCAAAUGCAACUGUGGAUAUGCUACAAAAAAGAAAAUUUGAUCUGUUAUCACAUGUCAAACGAUUACAUCGACAUUCAAUCGCUUCUGAUAUUAUUACUAUUCCCCGGAAAAACUCGAAAGAUCAUAAAUGUAAUAAAUGUGGUAAAAGUUUUUGAUGGUUAUCCACUUUUAGAAUGCAUCAAACAUCUCAUGGAAAAACCGACCGUUUUCGUGUGAUAUUUGUAAGAAAACAUUCAAAUAUAAAUUUGAGUUAAAUAGACACGUGAAAAUAGUACAUUCAAAGAAAAAAAUCGUAUCAUCUUCCAAAAAAGGCCAUGAAGUGCAAUCAGACUUUUUUCACACACCAUCAAAAAGGUCUGAAGCAACAGGAUCAACUGAAUCUGAGCAAGUGGCUUCAGAAAAGAUUAUUUUCACAGCAAGAGAAGCUGAAGAAUUUCUUAAAGGUUUUAACAUCGAUUUAGAAAUUAUGAACUUAGAAACAUCCUCACAACUGGAGUUAUUCUCAGAGAUUGAAAACGAUGAAGAUAAAUUCGAAUGUCAACUUUGUGGACAAGAAUUUUCUGACGAAAUUUCUUUAAAGGAACACGAGAAACAAUUCCACCAAUCUAAUUGAUUCUGCACAUUUAACUUUGAAACAAUAUAAAUUUAAAACGUCAUCAAAAAUUAGCAUUUUUCUACAUUCAUGUAAGACUAAUAAAAAUGAAACAUUAGUAAACAAUAUUAGUCACAGCACAGUUAAAUGAAAUAACA